AGUUUGAACUGACAGGGCAAAAUAUCACCCAGCCCUUUAUUGUUCGCCAACAGAUGGAGUACCUAAAAAUAGGGUGUGUGGUCAAAUUGUAGACACAAAAAAAAAAGAAAGAAUGCAAUUUAUGAUGCAACAACUGCAUUUCACAGGUGGGCAUUUUUAUUAUAAAAGCGCGGUAAGGUGAUUCAAUCACUCUUAUCGAUCGUGAUCUCUGAACAGAGUAGAAGUGCGCGCGUGUGUAUUGUUAGUAUUGUGAAGGUCUUAAAGCUAUUGUUAGUAGAAUAGAAGGAAUAGAAAAGUUUUAGUAAACAUGCAUAAUACAAAAAUUAGUACGCUAAAACGCAAAAGUUACUGUCCUUAAACUAAGUGACAAACAACAAAUAAUUUGAAGACAAACAAACAAGAAAAAGGUCCGGAAAGUGGACCUUUUUCUUCCGACCUUUCUUCUAUUUUCGACAGAAGUGUCCGGAGGCCGAUUUCCCGGAUACCAUCGCGUACCUCGCCGAUCGAAAGCCGUCAGUGACAACUCCGCCAUCUUUGUCACCAGUGACUGGCAAAACACAGCUACCAACCGUCAUCCCGGUAGCUCAAUUCCGCCAUCGUAGUCCUCGUCGACUGGCAACAGCACCAUUACCAUCCCCAUCCCGGUGGUCUGAUUCCGCCAUCUCCGUCACCAUUGACUGGCCAAAACCCGCCACGAACAUCGUUAUCCGGUGGUACAUUUCCGCCAUCUGCGUCAACAUUGACUGGCCACACCACCACUACCAUCGUUACCGGUAGUAUGAUUCCGCCAUCUUCGUCAUAAUUGACUGGCUAGAACGGUAGCUUUCGCCCGGAGGCGACCAAACACUACCCAAGCAUGGACACCACGAAACCACAACAAAUGAUCCGGAUCACGCAAGUACCCCAUAUAAGUGACGUCAAUAAUAAAUUGAAAAAAUGUAAAAA